CCUCACUGUAUAUUUGUCCUCUGAGAGAGGGGGUGAGAUCCUUCCACUGAAGUACAAGAGGGACAUAUGUGAACAAAUUGCCCUGUGUUGGCUGCCAAGAAUGACCCAUGAAGGACCACCUACUACCGAGGCUGAUCUUGCUCUCUCUCUUCUCUAUGUAUAGUCUUCAAACAAAGACCACUUGAGUUGAGCAAUGCCAGCUGGGGAACAAGAUGUAUGUAUAGUGAGAUUACUCAUGCUUGAUGAAGCGAGCCCUCAUGUCAUUAUGACACUCAAGCAGCUCUUGAAGAGGAGCUGAGGCUUCCUUCCAACAGUCAGCACCAUGUUAGUGAACUGCCUUGGAAACCAAUCAUCCAGGUCCCAGUAAGCCUUCACAUAUCUACUGACAUCCUGACUACAAUCUCGUAAGAGACGGUCAGUCAAAACCACCCAGAAAAUACUCUGGCUUUAGCUCUUUGAAGAUUUCCCCUUCUCCAUUCUUAUCUUCUAUAAUUCCAGCAAACAGUUGAAGAUUUUAUUUACUUAUUGGACCUAAAGAACAUAAGCAGGAGGAGUGGCAGGCACAGGGAGAAGGAGAAGCAGGCUUCCCACUGAGCAUGGAGCCCAAUGUGGAGCUGAAUCCAGAGGAUCCUGGGAUCAUGACCUGAGCCAAAGGCAGGUUUUGGUUUCAGAGCAGAUAGUCAAGACUCUGCUUCCCUUCUAAAAGUUAAUAUCUGCAAAACUGUGUUGCUAGAAGACUUGGCCUCUGAGGUUCUGUGCUGCUUCCUGCUGCCAUCCAUCUAGGCCAGCCCAUUCUUCCUUAAUCCCUGCCUCUCUGACUCUGAAGUACUGACCCCAUUUUUCUUUCAUUGUCCUCUGUCGUGUAUCUAUAGGAGUUCCAGCUAUGGAAGCCUUGGCUUUAGAAUUUUAAGGCAUUAGAACACUUGAGUUUUGAUCUCUGCUUCAUCCCUUACAUAUUGUUGUUAGUCAAUAUUGACUAUUUUUUCUAAUUCUACAAAUUUGACACUAUAAUCAUAAUUACUAUUUUACCUAGACAUUUUCUCUUUAACAUAGUUUUUUUUACUCACUUUUUUUUCUUAUGUCUGUCCUGACUGGAAGAAUGACUAACUUGGAGUCUACAAGACACAUAAAAAGUUUUGAAAUACUUUGGGAUCCUCAUGGUGGUUAUUCCCACUUUAAACAGUAGUGGAAAUUUCUCUAGUGUGUUUUAGUAAGUAAACACAGUAAAAUAGUGUAGUGGGUAUGCAUAGGACAGAAAAAUUGUGUGCUCAAUAGAGCGUUUUGCUUUGUGCCAGGGGCCUCUUCCAUAGACUUAAUUGCAAUGAGGAAAUCAUGGCAAAUAGCUUGAGCCAGCAAUUUACAGAUUAUUAGACAAGAAGAUUUAUUGAACUAAACAAUAAAAAGGAAAAGCCAUUUUAUAAUGUGUGAUAGAAUGGUCUAACCAAAAAAUUGUUGUCUCCUCUGGUCUAUAUACAUAAAUCAGUGCCUUAUCAUUUCUGUGCAGUCAUGCCUAACAUUUUUUACCCUGGAAUUACAAGUAAAACCUUUGUAAUACAGGCCUUAGAAUACAUUUUUUAUGUCACAUCUAAUAAGCAUUUUUAAAAUGCCAUUUUCCCCUCACUUUUAUUCUUCCUGCAUUAGAAGCUCACAGUCUAGUAACUCAUCAUUUAUAUCAUGAACAGAUCCUAAGCAGCCUUAUGCAGGUGGCUGACCCUCCGAUGAGACACAUUACUUUGCAUGGAGAAAAUAGGAAAUUCAAAAUAAAUACUUCAGCCUUAAUGUUACCAGAGUUUGUUUUCUGUUACAGAAAGUGUUAUUAUAGUGGUUAUUAUUACUAAGGACAGAUAUGAGCUAUUUGAGGCUGGUUUGGUUUUGCUAUUCUCAAUUUGACCCUUAAGGGGUAAAUGUUUUCCUAUUGCUCAUAAUUUCAUUCAUCAUUUUCUUCUCUGUCCUUUUUUUAUUUCUACUGCUGCUCCAGCCUCAUUUCAGAAAUUGCUGUUGGCAAGAAGAAAUGUGUACAACACGAAUUACCUGUAGGAGUUAGAUUGCAUCAGUAUUGUCAGUAAUAUUGUUUAGAAUCAGCUUAAAACAUUGCUUUGUAAUUCUGAAAAACAGUGGAAAUGGGAGACAGAUAAUAUCCAAGACUCCCAUAUCUUCUUUUUGUAGGCAUGGAAGAAAAUCCUAUGUUUGGGACAUUUCAAAAGGACGUGGCAUUUGAGAGAGGAUAUAAUUUUCCUAUUUAUAAGGCAAAUGAUAAUAAAACAAUGAAAAGUGAAAGCAAGAAAGUCAUGUUUAUACCCCAAGUUUGUGGAGUAUUUCUUAUUUAAAAAAAGGCUCUUGUAAAGUAGAGAAGAUAAAAUGUUGAGCGGCAUAUGUUCAUUUUGGAGGUAAAAUAAAUUCUCAUUUCCCCAUCACUGAAGCUAAGAAAUAAGAAAUUAUUACCACCAUAGAAGACUACUCCGUGCCCCAUAAUUAUCCUAGCUUCUGUGCCUCUCUUAGGUUCCAAGAGGUCACUACCAUUCUGAAAUUAUGAUUUCUGUGUUUCUGAAAUUGUGAAUUCUCACUUUUCUAACUUUUUAAAACGUUUCUCUCUGAAAAAUAUA